rnacentral:lncRNA from 1 species
AACCACCAACUGCAUAUUUGAGGAAAGGGAAUAUCGUUGUUAGUUGUUACUAACAUUUCCCUAGAGGUUGGGGAGAUGCAAAUAUCGAAGCGAAUAGGGCGAGAUUGUUACGAUGAAGAGGGCAACGAAACUAGCACAGCAGGAACGUUCAGUUUGGGACCUCCAAACACCAUAUCUGAUACCCAAAACAAGUUCUACGCCGUUGGUUGCGACACUUAUGCAACCAUGGAAGGCUUCCGAGGGGAAGAAAAAGUCAUUACUGGGUGCAUUUCAGUAUGCAACAGCCUCAGCAGUGUUAAUAAGAACUCUUGCUCUGGCAUUGGGUGUUGCCAGAUUAACAUCCCCAGUGGACUGACCAAUCUCACUUUCGAGUUGAGAAGCUUCUACAAUCAUAAGAAUGUAUCGGAGUUUAACCCCUGCAGCUACGCCUUCAUUGCAGAGCAAGGCCGGUUCAAUUUCAGCUCUUCUAGUUUUGAACAACUGAAUGGCAUUGAACGGCUUCCAAUGGUUCUUAAUUGGGCCAUUGUGAAUGACGCAGAUCCCUGCGAUGAGACUCAGAACAGGAAGGGUUCCGCAUGCAAGGCUAAUAGCAAGUGCUUCAACCCAGCUAUCAAUGAGUCUGUAGGUUACUUGUGCCAGUGCUUGCCUGGUUAUGAAGGAAACCCGUACCACCCAGAUGGUUGCACAGGUGACGAUUAUCUUUGAUUUACCUAUUCAGCUACUAUUAUAUCAAUAUAAAUUAAUUAAAGCUCUCGCCAUUGGAAGUGCAAGUUUACCAAAUUUAGUGAUGUCUGAUAGGCUUUUCCUUUCCUAAUUUCCCUUUCAGAUAUUGAUGAGUGCAAAGACCCAAACCUCUGCCAGAAAGGACAAUGCUUGAAUCUUCUACCUCCACAAAAUUACACUUGUUCAUCAUGUCACAAAGGAUACAAACACGACGGCACCAAUGACAAGAGUUGCAUCAAAGACGAUCUCGAAAGAAGCUCAAAGAUCGUUCUCCUGCUUAUUGUUUCAUUGGGUAUGUAUAUUUACAUAUUAUCAUGCAUGUGCACCCUAAACUUCUGUUGAAAAGUAAUGACGGACUGAAAUCUAUUUAGCUUCAGGCCUUCAGCUACGUACUUUAUCUCCAAAUUAUAAUAACCUCGUUUUCUCAUACUUUUUCUUCAAAAAAAAGUAACACAGAGAGAAUGCACAAGUCAUUUCCAUAUUUAAGGGAAGUUUUUUUUCUAUUGUUUGUUAAACGAGAGGGAACAGGUGCGCAAAUUGAAGAUUUUUUUUCUUUUUAUUCAUUUUUGUAGAGAAGGUCUUGCAUCUAGAAUCAAAAUCAAGGAAACUGCUACAAUGAGUUAAGGGGAAGAUCCUAGGGAAUCAGAACUAGAAUAAAAGGACAACAUAAUAGCACAGAAAAAAAAACCACCACCCUGUACCUCUGAAUAAGAUCAUAGAGAAUAUGCAAAAGCAAACUUAUAAGAAUAAAUUUGAUGAUGAAUUUUCAACUAUUUGUAGGUGUAAGUAUGGGCUUGUUGGUUUUUUUCCUUGGGAUUUCGUGGAUAUGUUGGGGAAUGAAGAAAAGAGAGUUCAUUAAGCAGAAGGAAAAGUACUUCAAAGAGAAUGGUGGCUUAUUGUUACUGCAACAACUCGCCAGUGAUAAUGGAAGCUCGAUGAAGACAACAAAAAUCUUUACCGCUGAUGAACUUGAGAGGGCAACAAACAACUACCAUGAGAGUAGAAUCCUUGGAGAAGGAGGUAAUGGAACAGUUUACAAAGGAAUACUACCGGAUGACACAGUGGUUGCCAUAAAGAAGUCGAAAGGUACUAGUGCCAUGACCCAGAGUGAUCAAUUUGUUAACGAAGUGAUUAUCCUUUCUCAAAUUAACCACAUAAAUGUGGUGAAGCUAUUAGGUUGCUGUUUCGAAACAGAAGUUCCUUUACUAGUAUACGAAUUCAUUACCCAUGGCACUCUUUAUGAGCACAUUCAUAAAAGAAGAUCACCUCUCCCUUUUGAAUUACGAAUGAAGAUAGCAACUCAAAGCGCAGAAGCAUUGUCUCACUUACACUCGUCAAUUUCCACACCAAUCAUACAUCGAGAUGUGAAAACGGCAAAUAUUCUGUUAGCUAAUGAUUACACGGCGAAAGUGUCAGAUUUCGGAGCUUCCCGUUUGGUUCAUUCAGGAACUGAUAUGCAAACUUUGGUGCUCGGGACAUUUGGAUACCUAGACCCUGAAUAUCUGCAAUCAAACCAGCUAACAGAAAAGAGUGACGUUUACAGCUUUGGAGUUGUCCUAGUGGAACUAAUAACAAGCAAAGUUCCACUUUCUAAAGAUAGAUGCUUAGCAAGCAUCUUUGUGGUUUCCAUGGAAGAAGAUUGGUUGGAUCAAAUUCUUGACGAUGAUAUAGUGAACGAUGGAAACAUUGAGACGGUAAAGAAAGUGGCCCAUCUCGCAAAGCGAUGCUUGAUGGUAAAAGGGGAGGAAAGGCCUACCAUGAAAGAAGUUGCGAAAGAGCUCGAGGAAAUAAUGAGUGUCACAGCAAAACAUCCGUGGGGAUUUAAUGCUAGUUUCUACCGAGAAGAGACUGAGUACUUGCUCGGGUCACUCAAUUCAGACGGUUACGUCGUUGGUGUUGGGGAUGAUUGCAGUUCUAGUGGUCUAACCAGUGGUACGGCCAAUGCAUAUGACAGCAUGCAAAAACAACUGCAGUUGAUGCCAUAUGGCGGUGGACGUUAGUUGGAUCGGUGUCGCUUGUAUGUAUUUUAGUAUGGUUGUUUCUGUCAGAUAAGUGCGUUUUCACAUUUUGCAAUUGUUGUAUGUAAGUAAUCAAGUGUGGUCUUACAGUCUUACUGGUGUUCUUUUGCUGCUAUUGUGCACACUUAGCAAGCAACUGGAUUUGCCUUAUCUAUGAGGUUAAGGCCUUUGCCUUUCACACGUCUACUAGUUGAGGAGACAUGUAUAUUACAUAAUAUGCAAACUAGGUAGAUAUGUAUUACACUAGUUGAAUUUGCAUGCCGUCACUAGUUUUCGCUUGGAACAUUUCCACCAGUCAUGUCAUAUUCAUAUAUACAAACCACUAAGGAUAGUGGGGUGGAAAACUCUGUCUUGGCUAACCUCCAGGUCUGGAGUUCGAAUCCCCAUGAAAGCAAAGUGGCUAGGCACUAUGCUGCAAUGCAUAGUUGGAGCAUUUCACAUGCGCCGGCGGAUUAGUCCUUAGGCCUACGAAGUCUUUGGGAUACCGUGACUUGAUCAAAAAAAAAAAAAUAUUCAUAUAUACUGCAAAUUUGAAAAUUUCCACCAGACAAAUCGUAUUGCAAAAAGAAAUUGUUUAAUUCCAUUUAGAUUACUUGGCACCUUGACGACUUCAUCUUCAAAAACUUCUAGUCUCCUACCUCAACUUGUCACCGUGGUCAUCAACUGUAACGGAAAACGAACUGUCACAUUGACAUAGCAUAGAAUAUUUAGUUAGUUGCAUAAAAUUAUCAAUGAAAAUGGAAGUUGUGCCCCGUCAGUUAAUUUAGAGUGAUGUGGUGAAAAGAAUUCAAAAGCCAACUCUAGACCAAAAAUAAACUUUUACCACCUGAUCAGUAAACAAAUCACGUAUAGGCAGAAGGGUCCUGGCUUGGCAAAGGAGGCACAUCAAGCUUUCGUUUUCUUGAAACCGAUUGAUCUCAUAACUUGUGCUUGACUUUGAUAUAACAUCUCUUCUAUAUUAACUGCUUGCAUCUAAACUAAAAGAUACCAACUUUUUGGGCUUACCAAGUGGCUUCGGGAAAUAAGAGAGACGACCAAGACAUUUUGAUUCGCUCACAACCUCUUCCAUUUGUCUACAAAAGCGAGCUUGCAAGCACAACUUCACUCAUAAGAAAUACAGUUUAUACAUUUAUACCUCUCAAUUUAAGUACCUGAAUCAAUUGGUGAAAGUAGAUUACCAAGUAUGCAAUUCAUACUGCUGGUGCUACUGGUUCUCCUCGCAUUUGCGGCCGCGGGCAAAGAAGCAGAAACAGCUGAAGCCCGCCCGCCUCAAGCCCUUCCUGGCUGCACUGACCACUGCGGCAAUCUCACCAUUCCAUAUCCCUUUGGCAUAGAGCCUGAUUGUUACAAGACAGAAGACUUUUAUGUCUAUUGUAACACAACCACUACACCCCCAACAGCAAUGUGGAACGAUGGUCCCAUUGCUAUUAACAACAUAUACCUGCCUGCGGGUGAGAUGCAAAUAACGCAGUACGUAGCCUAUGAGUGCUAUAACAGCCUGGGCGAGAAUGAUUACAACCAACCAUUGCUUGCCGUGCCUCCUUUCACCGUCUCUCAUACUAGAAACAAGUUCAUUGCCGUUGGUUGCGACACUUCUGCAGCUUUCAGAGGUUACCGUGCAGACGAACAGAGGUUAAUGACCGGAUGCAUGUCCAUAUGUGACAACCUUGACCGCAUUGAACAGUCUUGCUCCGGGGUUGGGUGUUGCCAAACUGACAUCCCCAGCGGACUUGAGAAUUACACUCUCACACUGGAAAGCUAUUAUAAUCACACAUACAUACUGGACUUCAAUCCAUGCAGCUAUGCCUUCAUUGUGGAAGAAGGCAAGUUCACCUAUUCCCCCGAAUACAAGUUUCCAAACACUACCCAACACCAAAGAGCUUCCCCUGAUUCUUGAUUGGGAAAUUGGGGAAGGCGCAUGUGAUGAAGCUGAACACAGAGAUGAUUAUGCAUGCAAGGCAAAUAGCAAGUGUGUCAAUCGGACCAUCAGUGAUGGGCUAUUCUAUAUAAUAAAACGAUAAGGAAAAAACCACUGUUCAUAUCUAUUCAGAAUUGUGCUAUUCCCCUGAAGUUUCGUGAAUUAUGUUUUGGCCCUAGAUUUGUUACUGAUUGCAAAACUGUCCUCACUGUGUUGCGUGUUAUUGUUGCUGCGUGGCCUCCUAUUUUCAUUCCACGAAGCUCUCUCGCUCUCUCCGAUCUCUCUGUCUCACGCAUGACGGCGGAAACGAAGAAAAAGGCCGACCGAUCCCGAUCAAAUCCGAGCCAGGGUGAAAGAACAUCGAUCUGGGUAAUUGGGUUUCAGUUUCGUUUUUUUUUUUUUUUUCUAAGAUUCUUCCAAUUGAUUUUUGUAUUAUUUCGAUCAAACCCGAGCCAAGGUGAAAAAAAAGGAUCUGGCCAUAUGUGUUUGGUUUUUGUAUGAUUGUUGUUUUGAAUCAAUAGGUAUUUCUUUUAUCUCAGAUUCUUCAAUGCAUGGAUGCUGUUGAUAUUUCCUGUGAUGCCUUCCUUGAGCCUUUCUUCCUCAAAAACAUUUGCACCGCCGACUGCUACGAGAAGUGCUCUAGAUAAAGGAUUUCGGGACGAUUUCGGGUUGAGGUAUUUGAGCUUCUUCCUUCUGCUUCGUUCGGUUUCCAUUUGUGUUUUUCAUUGUUGAUUUCAUAUUCCGCUUGCAGUUCAUGCUUCAUAGAAUUUACUAUGCUUCAUAGAAUGUAACAUCAAAUAUUUGGUGUGGUAUGUACCAAAAUAUGUAUGAAAAAAUGUAACAUCAAAUAUAUAUGCUCUAGCUGUAUGAUGUAUGAUAGAAUGUAACAUCAAAUAUUUUGUGUAGUAUAUACCACAGCUUCUAUGUUCUGUAAUGUGUAUUCUCUCUGUUUUUCAUUCUUAUCAUAUAGACAAUAUUAUCUGUUCGCUAAUCUAACCAACACGUAUCAGCAGCUCACGCCCACAUGUGACAACAUCAACUUCACAUAGCUGUAUAACCACAUGUCGACAUUAGCUCACAACAGCUUCUUUCAAUUAUCACCUAAGAACAUGACAAUACUUUGCCGUGUGAUCUUCCAUUUAUUUACCAUCACCUUCACCCACGUCUAUAUAAACCUGGAGACAAAUGAACCUGCAUAAUGAAGUGCUCUCCAUUUCUCUUCAUAUUUCUCCGAACAUUUUACACUACUAUAAAGAAAAAUAAUCUUUGUAACAUAUGCCUGGAGAUCAAUCAUUUGAACGAUUUUUUUUUCGCUGAUCUGUACUUAACGCAUCCUUGAAAAACUAAUUCUUCAAGUGGUUGUAUUUCCGGGCGACUGUUACCGUGGUAAUGUCUGCAGCCAUACAACCCAUGUAUGUCGAUCCAUGCAACACAAAUUCUACAGGACAAAUCAGGAAAAGCCUUCCUGAACAACCAUAUAAACAUUUCCUUUUUCUUUCUUUUUUCCUUUUUUUUUUGUACGACAAAUCGACAAUAUGAUCUGCAAACCUAGACAUGAAUUAGUUUGAUAGCAGUAAUUUCAACUCAAAUUCAGUUUUUAAUUAAUGGAAUGUUUAAUAUUCUGUUUGCAUUUACAUAUCAGACAACUGUAUUGGGAUGGAUUAAGCUUAGGAUUGAAGAGUUGGUUUAUAACUUCGCAAUAGCUUUAUUUGUUAAUGUCCUGAUAUUGAUGCACAAACAUAUAAUUGGUCGAAGUUUCAACAUCUGUUGCUAUACAUGGUUAAUGUAAUUGUCAGAUUUGUACAUAGGCUUCUCUUUUUACCUUUUUUUAUACUCUGUUGUGGUUUCUAAUGGGAAGUUUGAGACCGCUUUUCUAAUUUUGGUUUGUCUUGCAUGUUGGUUAUGCAUGAGAUUGAUUGUGGCUAUUUUGUGAAGGUUUUGUGAUAGAUUCCAGAUUUUGGCUUUGAAAUUGUAUGCGUAGCUCCAAUUCUUAGACUAUAUUUCAUACUACUAUAUUAGAAAUAUUUGAAAGAGAAGAAUCAAAUUAGUGUUUGAGGAAUCAAUAAUAAGGAGCCAAAGGGUGCCGACCAAAAACUGGGUUAGAUAUUUACUUAUCUAUAUUUUACUUGCAUGUUAAUGAUUUGGUUUAUAUUGAAUGCUGCCAAUGUAUUAGUAUUUUGGUAUUGCGUAGUUAUUAAUUGUAUAGGAUUGCAGUUUACUACAAUGAAAACAAGGUGUGCCUGUCUAUUUGGUUAUUGUGUCUGUUUUAAGAUUUUAAUGUUUAUAGCAUUUUGAAAUAUAUUAUGUAUUUCAAUUUUAAUUUUUGAAAUUAGCUACGUUUUUUGGGUUAUUUCUUUUAAAUUUUGUUGAGCAUAUGAUUUUUGUUACAAUGGUGAUAGUUGCAGUCCUUUGAUUAUAAUUUAAGUUGAGUUGCUGCUAUCCUACCGUUACGGAAUCAGGGCCGUUGAGCUUUGUUACAAAUUAAUGAAAACAUCAGUAUCAAUUGUUUGAUUGGGGUUGAUAAUUUUUGUUCUGUUUUCAGUGUUGGUUCUUUCACUAUCUGCAAUCAAUCUCAUUCUCUCAAGUGCUUAUCGGUUCCUUUGGUUGGAUUAGCUGUUUAAGUUUUUUGGUUUGGUUUGCAUUUUGGUAAUCUUUUAGGUUUAAUCAAAUUGGGUGUCUGACUGUUUUGCAGACGUUUCUUUCUGUUUUUCCGGUGGUGAUCCCCAGUGUCAGGACAGGUAUUUACUUUAUCUUUUUUUUUACUUGCAAGUUAAUGGUUUGGUUUGUAUUGGAAAAGCUUUCAAUGUAUUAAUAUUUUUGGUUUUGGUGAGGUUUGUGGUGAGUACUUUUUAAUUUCGUAUUAUUUGAUGUGCCUAGCUGAAUGGUUAUGGGUGUGUCUGUUUUAGGAAUAUUGAUGUUUAGACAAGAUUUUAAUAUCUAUCACAUAUUUUAAUUUACACUUUGGAUGUCAUCUGGUCAUGCAUUUUGUUUUGGUGUUGUUUUAAUUACAUUUGGUAUCGCAAUUGACCAUACAAUGACAAAUUUUGCAUAAUGGUACAGGGAAAAAAGACAGAUAUUUUUUAUCUGUGUAUCAUACUUGAGUUUAAACAACAAACAAUGCAAAGGUAUAAUUGCAGUUGUCCACAUAAUAUAAAUUCUUCCAAAAUGGUGUAAAAAUGAGGAUGAAUGUUUGUUACGUAAUUUUAAAUAACAAACAAUGCAAAGGUUUACUGCAUCAAAAACUGAAGUUAAAUAGAUUGGCCAAUAAAGUAGAUGGAAUCUGACACCGGUCCAAUAUCUAAGACAUGUUUAUAAAUCGAUGUUACUGCAAGUGGAUUUUAGUUUGGAACUUUUUAUGUGUAUUACAAUAGUUUUUUUUUUGGGUUACCCAGCAGAACAAAGUAUUUGAUUGAGUGAGAGAUUGCGUAUGUUUGUUUUUAAAUUGACAGCUUCUAUAAUAUUCGCUUCUGGAUAUUCAGGGCCAAAAAAAAAUUAUAAUCAUGAUGAUAUUAAUAUAAUUUGGUACAUUGAAGUGUUAAAAAAAACCUGCUAUUGAUUUAGUGCAUUGGUUUGAUUUGGUGUGGGGAUACAAAUUCAUCUUGCAGCCUACUAGAUUUCAGGCAUUUGAGUUGUUUUGGUAGUUACAAUGGCAUCGCUUAAAAUAUAAUUUGGUAAAAGAAUGCAUGUUUUAACAUGGUGCUGUUAAUGUUAGUUCAGAUUGUUAUUCAGACAAGUGGUGAUGUGUGCUAUUAUUGGGCUCAUUGAUUUGAGAUUGUUUGAUGAUAUUGCCAUUUCAAUUCAGAUUGCGUUGAAUCUAGCUAUAAGUUCUUUGUUUAUUCUUUUUUUAAAUACUUUUUGGACAGUUGUUAAUCCAAUUUUUACUGUUCUGUAUUGUUGCCAUUGAUUUUUAUGAACUGUUAUUAUUUUAUUGAUGCAUUGUUAUUCAUGUGAAUAUUUGUUGGCACUACAGGUUAAGAGAAAACUUAAGGCUUUAUUACAAAAGUAAGGAUAAUUAUUUUGAUGGUUUGCUGUUAUGUCAUCAGACAUGUUUGUUGUACUUUACAUUUUGUGCGUUGCUUGAAUACUUAUUGUUCUAUUAUUUGGUGAUAUUGGAAAGUAAGAUGACUCGAAAGAAAAGAAUUCGGGAGGAAAAUUUGUCAGCUGCAUCGUCUGAACAACUUGGGUGCAGUGGUCCCUCCAUGAAUGCUUCUGUUAACAGUAGACCGGGUGGUGCCAAUGCAUCAAAUGAUUGUGCUGAGUCUUCGUCUACAAGAGGAAUCGAUGCUCUGAGUGUUGGACAAUCUAAUAUUGGGCAGGCGUUUUAUUAGAGAAGAAGAAAAACAAAAGGUUUGUGUUUGGGGUGCUUUGUUUAUUUAUGUGGUUAUCUGAAUUGAAUUUGUAUGACUUCUGUUUAAGAUGGUGUGCUGUUUUGUUUCUAGGUAUAUCGUCUGCAUAUGUAGAUGUCGGAGAUAUGACAAACGUUUGUGUUGAUUGUCAUGCAUUGUUUUGGUUGCAAGAGUCAAAAUUUAUUCCAAGGAAUGGAAGUCCGGUCUAUACAGGCUGCUGCCAGGAAGGUCGGAUUAGGCUCCCGCCUGUUAGACCUGCUCCAGUUUUUUUAGAAUACUUGCUUGAUUCCACUAAUGGUCAAAAGAGUGUGCAGUUUAGAAACAAUAUUCGGAGUUAUAAUACCAUGUUUGCAUUUACUUCAAUGGGAGCUAAUGUAGAUAAGACGGUGACUGAUGGUCAUGGUCCUUAUGUUUUUAAAAUUAGUGGACAGGUAUACCAUCUUAUGGGUUCACUUAUUCCUCCAGAAGGUAAGUGCCCUAAGUUUGCACAAUUGUACAUUUAUGAUACUGAGAAUGAAGUUGCAAAUCGACAAAAAGCUGUUGACGGUUUAGACUCGGAAAUUGUUACUAGAUUGAUUGAUAUGCUUGAUGAAAGCAAUGAAUUGGUUCAGUAUUUUCGUUCUGUUCGAAAUAAGUAUAAUGAAAGAUCUCUGCGUUGUUUAAACUUGACACUUCUUGACAAUGAAAGAAUAAAAGAUAGGGAAUACGAUGUGCCAAGUAGUAGUGAAGUUGCUGGCUUGAUUGUUGGUGACAUUGGGUUGUAUGAAGCUGAUAGGGAUGUAGUUGUCGAUACAUUUGAAAAUGGUUUGCAGCGGAUAUCAAGAUUACAUCCAAAAUUCAUGUCAUUUCAAUACCCAUUACUCUUCCCUUAUGGGGAGGAUGGAUAUCAUGUUGGUUUGAAAUUAUGCGCACGCAAAGAUAAUGAGAAUCGCAAGCGAGAAAGGAUGUCCAUGUGUGAUUUUAUGUCAUACCAAAUACAUGAGCGUGCAAAUGAAUCUUCCACUUUGCUGAAAGGAGGCCGACUUUUUCAACAGUUUUUGGUUGAUGCCUAUGCAAAUGUUGAAGAAAACCGUUUGUUUUAUAUUAGAAAAAAUCAACCCGAUAUUAGGAGCGAGACUUAUGUGGGCAUAUGUGAUGCUUCAAUAAGAGAACAUGAUGGUGAAAAUGUAGGCAAACGAAUUAUUUUACCAAGCACUCAUACAGGAAGUCCGCGGUAUAUGAACAAACAUUACCAUGAUGCUAUGGCUUUGUGUCGGAAGUAUGGCCCCCCUGAUUUGUUCAUAACACUUACUUGCAAUCCAAAAUGGCCUGAAAUUGAAAGAGCAUUGUUGAACAAACAUGGUAGCAAACCUGAGGAUCGCCCAGAUAUUGUUGCAAGAAUUUUUAAGAUGAAACAUGAUGAUCUUAUUAGUUACGUUAAAUCUGGCAAGCCAUUUGGGAAGGCUAUUGCAGGUAAGUACCUUUGUUUACAGCGUCCCCCCUUUCCCUUUUUCCGAUUUAAAACAUUAUGAUAUUUAAUUUUGAUGUUUUUAUUAAUCUCAUUGGUAUACAAUGUAAUAUGCAGAUGUUGCGACAAUUGAGUUCCAAAAACGGGGAUUACCUCACUCUCACAUGUUAUUUUGGUUGGCUGAGAAUAACAAGUGUUAUUCGGCUGUUGACAUUGAUUCAAUAAUCUUUGCUGAACUACCUGAUAAGAAGGUCAAUCCAACUUUAUAUGAUAUUGUGAAUCAAUUUAUGAUCCAUGGUCCAUGUGGUGUGCUGAAUCCUAAAGCUCCAUGUAUGAAAGAAAAUAACUGCAAGAAAUCAUUUCCGAAAGAAUACAUGGAAAACACAUUGUUUGCAGCUAAUGCAUUUCCCAUGUAUAUGCGUCGUGAUGAUGAUUCUAAAUUUGUCAUGAAAAAUAAUGUGACAGUAGACAACCGCUUUGUUGUUCCUUACAAUGCUGAACUUUUGUUAAGAUAUAAUGCGCAUAUAAAUGUUGAAUCAUGUUCUCAGUCAACCUUGAUAAAAUAUCUGUUCAAGUAUAUAAGCAAAGGUCCUGACCGAGCAAGAGUUGGUAUUCACUCUGAUUUAAAUGAUGAAAUUGCAGCGUAUUUAAACUGCAGAUAUAUAUCUCCACCUGAAGCUGCAUGGAGAUUGCUUGAAUAUCCAAUUCAUUCUCGGCACCCACCUGUUGAAUUGUUAAAGAUACAUUUACCAGGACAACAAACCAUUGUUUUUGGUCAAAAUCAACCGUUAACCUCAGUCAUUGCAAGACAAGGAUCAGACGAUACUAUGCUCACAUCAUGGUUUCAUGCAAAUACAAACGCGGAGACAAAGCAUAUAGCAAAUAUGUUGACAUUUGCAGAGUUUCCUUCUGCCUUUGAGUGGAAUAAUGGUACAAAAACUUGGACACCACGACAACGAGGCUAUGCAAUAGGUAGAUUGCCAAAUAUAAGUCCGACGAGCGGUGAGUUAUAUUAUUUGCGCCUACUUUUGAACACACGUAAAGGCUGCACAAAUUUUAAAUCUAUUCGGACAAUAUGUGGUGUUGUGUAUUCUACGUAUCAAGAAGCAUGCCGUGCACUCGGGUUACUAGGUGAUGAUAAAGAGUGGAGUGAUGCUAUAACUGAGGUUGUACCAACAGCAAUGUCAUAUCAAUUGCGCCAUCUAUUUGUUACAAUUUUGUUGUACUGUGAUGUUUCAAAUCCGUGUCAACUUUUUGAAACACAUUGGCGUAAUAUGUGUGAUGAUAUUAUAUACAAUGUCCGUUCUGAUUUUAUGAUGCCACACCUAAACAUAUCUGAACGAGAGUUACGAAAUUCUUUGUUGUUUGAGUUAGAGCUACUUUUUGGUAAUGCUAAUUCAUCGUUAGCGAAGUACCAUUUACCAUUGCCAGAUAAGGAAAAAAUGUUCGAGUUGAAAAACAGGCAAUUGAGAGAGGAAUUAAAUUAUGAUUGUGUCGCUUUACAAAAAGAGUACCGAUCUUUAGUAGCAGAAUUAAAUGAUAGCCAGAGAAGAAUAUUUGAGAAUGUGAUUAAUGUUGUUAAUAACAAAAGUACUGGCCUUUUUUUGUUUAUGGUCAUGGAGGCACAGGGAAAACAUUUUUAUGGCACACCAUUAUUAGUAAGCUAAGAUCGGAAGAGAAGAUUGUGUUAGCAGUCGCUUCCUCUGGAAUUGCGUCAUUGUUAUUACCAAACGGGAGAACUGCUCAUUCCAGAUUCAAGAUACCAAUUGACCUUACUGAUGGUAAGGUCUCUUCAAUAACAAAGGGAACACAUCUUGCUAAAUUGGUUGAAAAAACGGAUUUAAUUAUUUGGGAUGAAGCACCGAUGACUAAUAAGUGUUGUUUUGAAUCUUUAGACACUUCACUUAGGGACAUAUUAUCGUAUCGUUUUACACCGGGAACCGUCCCGCCAUUUGGUGGUAUGCCUAUUGUACUUGGUGGAGAUUUUAGGCAAAUAUUACCAGUUGUAAUUGAUGGGAAAAAGUCUACGGUAAUUGAUGCAUCAUUAAAUAGUUCUUUGUUGUGGCCAUUGUUUAAGAUCUUUUACUUGACAGAGAAUAUGAGACUGCGAAAAAAGGAAAUAAGUGAAGAGGAAAAACAACAAAUAUCAGAGUUUGCAGAAUGGUUGUUAAAUGUCGGUGAUGGAAAUAUAUGUGGCAUAGAUGAUGAUUGUGAUAGAGAUUCAAGCUGGAUAGAAAUACCGUCUAAUAUGUUAAUUGAUAACACAAGUGAUCCAAUUCGUUCUAUAUUUCAUGCUACAUACCCAGAUUUUCUCAAAAACUACAACUGUUUCGAUUAUAUUAGAGAACGUGCAAUUAUUACACCUAAAAAUGUUGAUGUGACUGGCAUAAACAAUUAUGCAAUAGAUUUACUGCCUGGUCAUACAGUAACCUAUUUAAGUUGUGAUUCUAUAUGCUUGACAAAUGAUAAUGCCGACAAUUUAAGCUCAUCAUAUCCACCAGAAUUGUUGAAUAGUAUUGAAAUCAGCGGAUUGCCAUCACAUAAAUUAGUUUUGAAAAAAGGAAUGCCUGUUAUGCUACUUAGAAAUUUAAACCAAACAAAUGGUUUGUGCAAUGGGACAAGAUUGAUUAUCACAAAUUUAUUUGACAAGAUUAUUGAAGCUAGGGUGUUAACUGGAACUCAUGUGAAUGAGAAAGUUUUUUUGCCAAGAAUUGUAAUGUCUUCUUCUAACCAGAAAUGGCCAUUUAUAUUGAGGAGGAGGCAAUUUCCGAUUAAAGCAUGUUAUGGAAUGACGAUAAAUAAAAGCCAGGGCCAAUCAUUAAAACAAGUUGGUUUAUAUUUGCCUCAGCCUGUUUUUAGUCAUGGACAAUUGUAUGUUGUUUUAUCUAGAGUAACCUCAAGAGAAGGAAUUAAAAUUAUGAUUUUAAACGAAGACAUACCAAAUACGUAUACAAAGAAUAUUGUGUAUAAAGAUGUGUUGAAAAAUUUACAGUCGCAUUCCGACUAAUAUUGUGUAAAAUGUCCAUACAUGAAACCCGGUUGAUGAUUACAAAUAUAUAUGUCAAUGUCAUUGAGGCACAAGUUUUGACCGGAACACAUGUUCAUAACAAAUUUUAUUUACCACGAACUGUACUGUCUGCAUCAAAACACAGAUGACCUUUUGUUUUAAAAAGAUGCCGAUUUCCAAUAACACUGUUAUGGAAUGGCAAUAAAUAGAAGUCAGAACCAAUCAUUAAAACAAGUUAAGUUAUACAUGUCGCAACUAUUUUUCACUCAUAGACAAUUGUAUAUAGCUCUCUCAAGAGUAACAUUGAGAAAAGGAAUUUACAAAAAAAAAAAAAAAAAAAGAAUAUACCAGAAAAAAAAUACUAAAAAAUAAUGAAAACAAAAAUGUUUUGCAAAGUUUGAGACCAACUCUAAAGCUCAUCAUCAACCGAUACCUCCACCAAUUAGUCCUUCUAUCUUCAGCAAAACAAUGAAUAAAAAUUUGCAGGCCAACAUCAACAAGCCAAAAACCAAACCUUCAGUAAAUAAAAAAAACGGAAGGCAAAGGUAAACAAGGGUAUAAUUGUCAAUUCUAAACAAGCCCUAUGUGUAUAUAACUAUACAGCUCUAUGUAGAAGCAGCCGACUCAGAUCUUUCACUUUCAGAUUUGGUUAUAUCUCUAACCUGCACAUCUAUUUUCUACUUAGCAGUGAUCCAACCUACAAAUCCAACCUACAAACUGAAGACAGGUAUUUUGUUUCUCUGUGCUUGCAUAAACGAUCAAAACUACACAGAUUGCUUUAUUCAAUUAUGCAUAUCUUAUUUGAUACUCUUAGAUAAAAAACAAAUUCAGUUGUUUUGGUUGACAUACUUUCAAAAGUGUAAAUCCUCUCUUCUAUGCAACCCAACAACCAUAAAAUGUCUCUUUUAAGUCUAAUCACAAUUUCAUUCUUAGUAUAUUACACUGUCGCUGUCGAUGAUUCCCAUCUUUUUUUUUCCCCCAAAACAGAUCUGCUUUUGCACCAUGUCGACUACCCGAAUUCGUGACAUUAGUCCUGGAACGGGUGGCAUGAAGAUAAAGGUUCGAGUAUCCCGAAUGUGGAGAGGAAAAGUUCUCAAGCCUGUCCAACGAUAUGAUGGCUUGGGAUGCGUGUUAGUCGACCAAUAUGUAAUUGUUAUAAUAGUUGAAUCAUUUUUAACAAGCACCGAUUCAAACAUUUCUGAUCAUUGUCUAUAUGUUAUAUAAUUAUGAAAGAUACUUAUUAUAUCUAUCAAUUGUUACACAUACAGGGUGACUCCAUCCAUGCCGUGGUCAUGGAAGCUGACAUUGAAGAUGUCUUAAGCAAUAUGGCGGAAGGUCCUGUCUAUGAAAUAAGCAAAUUUAGGAUCAUGAAAAAUCAAGAGUCUCAUCAAGUUGUGCCACAUACAGCACAGCUGCAGUUUAACAAUAAAACUGUGUUCAAACUGAUGCGUGAAGAAUUCCCGGCAAUACCCAUACACUGCUUCAACCUACUGGACUACAGCGAACUUCCUGCACGUAACAAAAAAGACACUAUAUUGACAGGUACAAAUUCACAAUCAAGGUGUUCACUAAAUUUAUAUAAUAUGUACAUAACGUUCACAUUUUAUUCUAAUAUUUGAUUGUUAAUCAAACUUCAUACUUUCUAAACGUUGUCUUUUUGCUAAGUAGAUAUAAUUGGGCUUAUAAAGGAGAUGCAUCAAGUUGAAGACACUCCUGUCAAAGGACAAUUGGCAAAAACGCGGGAACUACGAAUACAGAACACAAGGUACCAAAUUGUGAAUAUUUAGGUUAUAAAUAUGUUGACUGUCUAAAGGUUUAAUACACAAUUUCAGUUAUUUGAUAUAUUCAUUUACACACAAUUCUACUGUUGUAUGCGUUUACUGUUUUCCCUAGGAAUGAAGAGCUGCAAGCAACACUUUGGGGAGAACUUGCACUUGACUUUGAUGCAGACAAGAUACUUCAGUCACCCCCGCCAGCUGUGAUAGUCAUUACGAGUUCAAAAGUGGCCACGUAUGCAAGUAAGAACAAAUGUCUUUUUUCUCGACGAGAUCACACUAUUUAUUAUUUCGAAUUGAAUUACUUCUAUUGUCUAUUCUUAGAGAAAAUAGUGGUCAACACAAGCUUGAACAGCUGUGUCUUCAUCAAUCCAAAUAUUCCUGAGUUACAGGAAUACAAAACAAGGUACACAUUUAAAGAUGAAAAUAUGGCCAUAAUUGACAUUCGGUAUUCAUUGUGUGCUAAUAUCAAAUUCUGUACACCUCAAUAAAAUUGUAGGUUCUCAGCCCGAACUAUGCCCCAAAAUUCAUACCAAGCUCAGGCCAAAGCACAAGUUCUUCUGUCACAGAAACAUCAAACAUAAUCAAUAUCGGCAACCUCAUCUUACAAGAUGCAGAUGAAAACAAGGUAACAACUUCUAAAAGGACAUAAUUUAUUUUUAAUUUUUAUUUUAUUUUUUCCUUUUGAAGCUCUAAAAAGACAUAAUGUUGUGCACCUGUUGUUAUGUAUAUUAAAAAAAUUACAACUAAUGUCAUAUGUGACUUCAAAAUGUCUAUAUCAACAUAGGAUUCCAUGUUCACCUGUCGAGCUAAAAUUACAAAAAUCAUCACUCGCGAAGGGUGGUACUACUUUGGUUGUCCAAUCUGUAGAGUGAAGCUACAAAUGGGAUCCGACUCUGUAUUGAAUAAAUGUCCAAACCAUGGAGAGCAAGCUGGAAAGCCAAAGUAAGCAAAAGAAAUUUUUUUGAUUAACUAAAUCUAUGAUACAUUUGUCUAAAUAACUCCACUGAUACUAAAAGUGUCUAUGUUGAUUUCACGGCCUUAUUCAUCUUGAAUAUCGCAUGCGUAAAUUUUUUUAUGAUGGUGUUACUAUUACAGGUACAAGAUGCAAAUUCGUCUCGAAGAUGAAGAUGAUUCAACUUUGGCCAUGCUCAUGGGCAAACCUGCAGAGAUACUAUUUAGAAAACCCUGUAGCCAAUUGAUAGAUGAAGGAAGUACAGAGAAAACUGUCAUCCCGAAAAUCAUCCUUGAUACAAUGCACAUAUACAAAAUCUGGAAGAUUGGGUUUGGUACAAGGAAAGAUUUCAUGGUUAGAGGUGUUUACCCUGACACUGAAAAGGUUGGCCAAGAGAUAGAAGAACCAAAGACAUCGGGGAAACUUCCCUUGAAGAGAAAAUCAUGGUCACCAAAAGAAAGCACUCUGCAUCAACUUUUGGAGUCCGACAAAAAAAAAAAAAAAGGUUUCAAUCUUUACUAUAGUGUCCAUCUAUUCUUUCUUAAUGUAGAUACUGAAAUAUUUAAUGACUUUUACAUCAUAAUUGACAGGGAAGCAGGAGGCAGUAGCAAGGACACAGCAAAACCAGAUUAAGUUAGACAUGAUAGCUCCAUUGUAAUAAUCUAACUAUGUUUUGGCUACCAACUUUUGCAAGGGCGAUGGUGUGUGGAAAAUGCCCUCUUUUGUUCAAAUGAUGUUCUAGCUUGCAACUGGAGCCAAUGUGAUCUGUACAGUCAAAUAGUUUUUGGUGUGUGUGUAUAUUAACAGCUUAAUCUACAACGUUGUAAUCGUUACAGGAAAAUGGCUUUUUGAUGUGAAAUAGUUGUGAUCUGUACAGUCAAAUAGCUUCUGGUGUGUGUGUAUAUUAACAGCCAAAUCUACAGACUUUUUGAUGUGAAAUAGUUUUUGGUGUGUCUCUAUAUAUGUAUAUCAGUUACCAAAUUAAAGGUGUUGUAAUUGCCUUAACUGAUCUUUAUAUCCACUUUACUAUUAUUUGUUUUCAAGUCGAAAUGUAUGUCAAUAUCUCACUUUAUUACAAUUAAUUUUGUUUCUUAGUAUUAAUAAUCAGAACAAAAACAUUUAAAGCAGUCAAUAACUGGUACCCGCAGCAACGCGCGGGCACAUACCUUGUAUGUCACAAAGGGCCAGUACUAGGGGUGACGCAAGUGCCUCCUGUCUCAAUGCAGGUUCAGUUGGGGGCAGGAGGAGGGGUCCCCGUAGUCGCAGUUCCUAUACGGCUCUCAAUGCUGCUCCGGGUGAAUUCCAUCAACCACUUGCCUCGGCUCUUAAUGCUGCUCCAGGUGAAUUGCAUCAACCAUCUGUGGCGGUUGGUGUUUUCGAGACGCCUGCUAUGGUCAGAAUGGUACGAAGAUCACAGAAUAGAAAUCAACCUGGACCAUAUUACGUCUAAACUCCACCUCGUUUUAGCACUAGUUCUAUAUACUAUAGCAGGAAGGCAAUAUAACUGUUUAUUCAGGUAGAGAAAUGACGGUGUUACCCCCGGUUUGCAGAAAAUUACAAAACUGCCACUGCAGCAUCUAUCUCCACAGCAAUACGUGAACACAUGAAAUGUCUGUUUUGCCCCUGCUUCGUAACUAAUCACAAAAUUGCCAUUAUCUGCUCUGUCUUGACAUCUGCUGUUUUUAUAUUGCUGUGUUGGACAUCUGUGAGUCUGGAUUGCUGCCAUGUGUCUUGGUCGUUGACGUCUGGCGUCGAUGGCUUCUUCUCCACGAUCGGUUCGAGUGUAUCGAGUGUUCAUUGACCAUCUUCUUUGUCGCUCUUUGUUGUGAGAGAGAGAUGGGUUAUUCGUGAAAUGAAAAUUUGUAUGGCUCUUCUCAAUCAAAUGGUCGAGGUAAUGAUAUUUGUUCUGUAUAUGAUCGAUUCUGGGUUUCUAUUUCGUUUGCCCUGAUCGUAUUUACCAUUGUUUUGAUACCGAUGCGUUCAUUCAAUUGUUAAACAGGUGUCUGGAUUGCGAUCCAUAUUCCUUAUGAAAAAAGGUAUUGUGUUGUUGUAUCCAUGAACAAUCAACUUAUUUUAUUAUGCCUCAUUCUUGGUGCAAUUACAUGUUAUUUCUGUUCAGUUCAUGUUCAAAUUUUGCUCAAAUUUCAUUAACAGAUUAUACUCUUGGAUCCUAAUUAAAAUUGAAAUUGAGGAGUUUGUCAAUUUUUUUUUUGGCUCUAUUUAAGGGUGUUGAAAGUCUUUGAUGGUUCCAUUUGAUGGUACAUUUGCAAGAACUGCAUGUAUUAACAAUUUGUAUGUUUCAGAUCUCGACUUCGCUAUUCUGGACUCUGGAGAUGAAUCAUUUUGCAUUGGUUGAUGGAAAGCCAUAUCCUUUCGAUAUGAGAGGUGAGUUGGAUGACACUGGUGCUUUCAAGAACUUCAGUAAGUACAUUCACUUUACGUUGUUAUUACCAUGAAUCAUGAGCAUAUGAGCUAACAAAUCCUUUGAAGUUUGAACUAUAUCAGGAAAAGUUUAAGUGUUUGACAAAUCAAAUGAUGGAGCUAAUAUAUUAGAGUAUUUGCAGAAGAUUUGUUCAGUGAUAUUGGGGAAUUUUUGAUUUUGCAGGCUGGAAUUUUGUGUAAUGCGUGCAUUGGUUCAAUUUUCAGGUAUGCAUUUUAGUUGUUUAUUGGAAGAUUGAUGAUGUGUGGUGUUGAUGGAAAAAGUUAUCUGUACUUGACUUUGACUUAUUAAUAAAUCGGUUCUCUGCUAAAGAUAGUAACAAUUGUGUCAAAUUUUUACAAGAAUUUAUGACAGUACACAUUGUUCUGAUUUUUUCCAUUGAGCGUUGCCAAAAACAAUAUCCAAUUGAAUAGUAGGGAGUUCUUUGGUCAAUGAAUUGAGUACAGAAAAUUAGGGAGUUCUUUGGUCACUGUGGACUACAAAUUGGAAACAUUUGGUACUUCAGGUCUAAGAUUUCAAUAGUUUUAGAUAUAGCUUGAGGCCCAAUAUUGAAACAUUGAAAUCUUCAGUGAUCAUUAACUUACAAGGUCUGAUAGGAUUCAGUUCAAAAAGGGUCAUAUUAACAAAGGAAGUUUGGAAACUGACACCUGCAUUUCAAUAUCAAAAUGUAUGUCUAAAGUUUAGAUGAAUAUUAAAUACUUUCGAUUUUGAGUCUUAGCUGCUUGCAUUAUAAUACACGCUCAUUGCAUCCCUUUUUUGUACGUUUUGAUUUAGAUUUAUGCUGCUAUUGGAAAUGUUGGUGGAAGGGAGUUAGCUGUCAUCUUUUUAGUUCUUAUAUUUAUUUAGAACUACUCAGAAGGAUCUGUUUCAGAUGGAAGCAAUAGCUGAUAUUGUUGAUUAUUCAUGAGGGGUAAAAUACUCUUAACAUGUUUACUUAUCGUUUACUAUUUAUUUCAUUUACUGUUUGAAAAUGCUAGAUAUGUUUCUUCCACUGAAAAGUUCUCUGUGACCAGGAGACUACCAAAGGUUGCAGGAAAGUCUACAAUUGAACAUCAAGUUUGGAUAAUGAGUUUCUGAUAAUUUUGAAAUAUAUGUGAGAGCAUUAUAACUUUCAACAACAUUUAAACACUUUAAGACCAUUACUGGUUUUCAUAAAUGUGUUGUGGAGCUAUUCAAAAUAAUGAAGGACAAUAUUGAGCUUGCAGUUUUUGCAGAAGAAUUUUAAUGGGAAAUAUAUAUCAGUGUUGUCAAUGCGUAGGAAACUAUCAUUAAAGCUUUGAAUGGUGUUGAUCAUCCAUCUUUAACAAGUCUCUUCUAUUUACUUUGGCAGCAUUGAAACCCUCCAAUGCUGGUAUCAGGCCUACUUAAUUGUUUGUUCAGUUUCAACUGUUUAAGGAACAUGAGCAUAUGAGCUGACAAAUCAAUUGAUCUAUUUCAGAAAAAGUUUCUGUGUUUUGACAAAUGAAAUGAUUCAGCUAAUAUACUGUAGAGUAUUUGCAAAAGAAUUGUUCAAUGGGGAAUAUAUCAGCUUGGUUGAUGCUUUGGGAACUAAGCAUAAAGCUUUUAAUGGUGUUAAUUAUCCGUCUGUACCAAGCCCUUUAUUUACUUCGGUAACAUUGGAGGAAUAUGAUUUCAGUAUCAAGUCUAUGCAAUAGUUUGUUCAAUUUGAUUCAACUGUUUAAAGGAUGAGCUUAUGAGCUUACGGGUCCAUUGAACAGUUAGCUUAUGAGCUUUUUUAUAUAUUCACGUUUGUCCCAAUCUGAUAUUUGUGGCCAUUUGUACAUGGUUCAGAAUAAUAUUCUUCCUCGGGAAUCUUUGUAGAGUAUUCAAGGCAGCGAGAACUAAGUCACCCAUAACAAUCAAAACACAAAUUAGUAGACAAUUGAGAGGUAAUUGAGAGCUACUACUUAAUAUAACUUACUUUCUCAUUGCAGAGGAGAAGAGAGCAAAAGGGCUUCCAAGUGAGUGUUGCUUAUAUCUAUAUCUAUACAUUUGUUUACUAUUUCAGAACUUAUUUAUGUUUCGCUGGUGUGGUUCAAAUGAAACCUCUGACAAAAAUAUAUUCUUUACUUUGCAGAGGACAAGGAAGUAAAGGGACCUCAAAGUAAGUUUAGCAUUUCUAUUUCAAAACUUAUUUAUGUUGCGAUGGUGCCCUUUGAAUGGAAUGAUCUAUGAUCAUCUUCUGAUGUUUAUCAAUUGACAACGAUUAGUAGCAGUUUCAUUUACAAUCAAAUCGAAUUUCUGUCUAAAAUAUGUUUUUCAAUUUGCAGAGGAGAAGGAAGCAAAUGGACACCAAAGUAAGUGUUCAUUAUAUCCAUAUCAGUGCAUUUGUUUUCUCUAAAAAUUUAUUUAUGUUGCAGUAGUAUGUCUUGCAUUGGUUUUGUUUAUCUUUUAACAACUUUAUCAAUAUUCAAUGCUUCAAUUUAAAUGUUUAUGUACUAGACGUCAACCAAACAAAGCUAAGUCCAAGACAAAGGAGGACUAAGGUUUCUGUGCUUAUAUAUAUGCUCGCUCCCCAGCAAUAGUUUUUUUGAUGCUAAGUUGCUAACAGGUUAGACGUACAUGGUUCUAACUACAGAUCGACUAUUGUUUUGACUAGCAAUGGGAAGCGUUUUGCUGUGCAGAAUGAUAUAAUAACACAUGACUUAUUUUUUGUGCUCUCAGUUAUUUUGGUGUGUAUGACAGUGUUGUCUACAGAGAGAGCAAUGUACUGUAUAAUACUACAAUGUGAUGUUUUUGUUUGAUAAGUCAUGUGUAUUGUAGACGCUAAGUUAAUGGAUUUUUUGUAAUCUAACAUUUUCAUUUUUCACCAUAUCUCCAUGUAAUAGUGUGUGUGUGUGUGUUUACUAUGCAAUAUCUCCAUUAUAUUGCUACAUUCAUUGGCAUACCAAACAACAUAAAAAUUUAUCCAAACAAAAACAAUUCCGGUGAUUAAUAUCAGUCAUUGCAAACCGUGGCAUCGCGUGGGCAUCAUCUAGUCUGGUUAUUAUUGCCAAUGCCAGCCGGGUUAUCAAGGGAACCCUUACCUCCCCGAUGCUUGCCAAGGUGAAAUAUGUAAAUAACAAUAUACAGUACAUGUGUAUGUGUGUCUCUGUGUGCACUUUUCAUUUGAUAUGUUUGAGGGUACAUGCGUGUUUGUGUCUGUGAUUCAGUUGCUGCAGCCGGAAAUUAAAGCUCCGGUUAUGGAUUAAGUUUACAUGUUUGUUAAUAACAAUGUGUUUUCCUGGGUUUUUCAGAUAUUGAUGAGUGCAAGGUUUCAAACCCCUGCACCAAUGGACUGUGUGAAAAUUCACCUGGAAGUUACUUACGCUUGUGUGACAAAGGGUACAGAAGCAAUGGAACGAAUAAUCAAAGCUGUAUUCAAGAGAUUCCCAACGACAAAAAUCAAACAAAGACGACGCUCCUGCUUAUUGUAUCAUUGAGUAUGUACUAUUUCUAUAAUAGCACGCUGCAUGCAUCAUCUGAUCAUAUAUAGCCUAAAGUCAAACGUAAACUUUUUUUGAACAAUAAUUAACCUGAUCAGCUAUAUUAGGACCCAAAAUGAAAUUCUCGUAUCUAAUAUUUAAAAUAUGCAUCAUUUACCUUCCUCAAAAAAUAAAAAAAAAUGCAUCAUAUACAAGUGAUUUGAAAUUAAAAAAAGAAAAUGAAAGAAUAUAUAUGCAUCAUAUACAAGUGAUUUGAAGAAGCUUUCACGGUUUCACCUACAAAUGUUAUCCCCUGCUUUUACGGUACCGACUUUUAAAAGCUUAGAAAGUUUGAUUGAUCUAAAUUAUUUCACUAAUAAUUUAGAAUCAAAUAAAAAUAACUAAAGAAUUUCAUCGAACUCACUAUAUAUGUGCAGGUGUAACUGGGGCCUUCUUGGUUCUGUUUGUUGGAAUUUCAUUGAUAUGUUGCAGAAUAAAGAAAACAAAAUUCAACAAACUGAAAGAAAAGUACUAUAAAGAAAAUGGUGGCUUAUUGUUACUACAGCAACUCGCUAACAAUGGAGGCUCAGUGGAGACAACAAAAAUCUUCACCACAGAAGAACUAGAGAACGCAACAAACAAUUACCAUGAGAGUGGAGUCCUUGGAGAAGGAGGCUACGGAACAGUUUAUAAAGGAGUACUAAAUUAAAGGACAACAAAGUGGUUGCCAUAAAGAAGUCAAAAGGAGGUACCUAGUUAAAUAGGGUCGGAAAUACAUUAUAAACGUAAUACUUUAUGUUCUUAUCAUUAUCCUUUCGCAAAUCAACCACAAAAACGUGGCAAAACUAUUAGGUUGUUGUUUAGAAACAGAAGUGCCUUUACUAGUAUAUGAGUUCAUCACCCAGGGGACUCUCUUUGAGCACAUUCAUAAAAGAAGAUCACCUCUCCCUUUUGAAUUACGAAUGAAGAUAGCAACUCAAAGCGCAGAAGCACUGUCUCACUUACACUCCUCAAUUUCCACACUGAUAAUACAUCGAGAUGUGAAAACGGCAAAUACUCUGUUAGCUGAUGAUUACGCGGCGAAAGUGUCAGAUUUCGGAGCUUCCCGUUUGGUUCCUUCAGGUCCAACUGAUAUGCAAACUUUGGCAGUGCCCGGAACAUUUGGAUACCUAGACCCUGAAUAUCUGCAAUUAAACCAACUAACAGAAAAGAGUGACGUUUACAGCUUUGGAGUUAUCCUAGUGGAAAUAAUAACAAGCAAAGUGCCACUUUCUAAAGGGAAAAGCUUAGCAAGCAUCUUUAUUGUUUCCAUCAAAGAAGAUAGGUUGGAUCAAAUUCUUGACGAUGACAUAGUGAAUGAGGGAAACAUUGAGACGGUAAAGAAUGUUGUCAAUCUCGCAAAACGGUGCUUGAGGGUGAAUGGGGAGGGAAGGCCUACCAUGAAAGAAGUUGUCAAAGAGUUAGAGGAAAUGAGUGUCACGGCAAAACAUCCCUGGGAAUUUAAUGCUAGUUUUUGCGGAGAAGAGACUGAGUACUUGCUUGGAUCACUUAAUACAGAUGAUUCCGUGGUACGACCAAUGCAUCUGACAGCAUGCAAAACCAACUGCAGUUGAUGCCCUAUGGCGGUGGACGUUAGUUGAUUGGUGUCGCUUGUAAUGUUUUCUUAAUCCUGUAUGUACGUAUUUUUUAGUAUUGUUGUUUCUGUCUGAAUGUCUGAUAAGUGCGUUAGAAAUAAAAGUGUAUUUUCGCAUUUUGUAAUUGUUGUAUGCAUGUAAGGAAACAAGUGUGGUCUUAGUCUUACAGUACACUUACCGGUGUUUUUUUCCAGGUAUUGUGAUUGAUGCAACUUAGCAAGCAACCGGUUUUCCUUGAACCAUAUAUGUGGUUAAUUAAAGGCCUUUGCCUUUCACACGAGUUGGUGGUGCUUGAAAGUUGGUAUGUGAUGGUCAGCACAUCAAUGGGAAACCUUAAUUUUUGGUUCUAGCCUCACCUAAUCAUCGUUCAUCAAAGUUACAUGAACCCUAACAAUAACACGGUUGAUAUAUACCAGCUUGGUCAACUUGAAGCAUGAGUCCGAUUGUUUUCCCAACUAGCCUUUUGUGAGUGUCACCAAAAUGAUCUAUGAUUUUGGAAAAUUCUAGUAUACAAAUUUGCAUAUAUAUCAUACAAACUAAGUAUGUGGCUAUCAUUGCUUGUAAAUAUAGUAAUAUGACAAUUUUAUCCUCCUCAAAAUACUUCUUGUAUGUCCUUACAUAGAAGUGAGUGGACCACUUUUUGAGUUUGUAUACCAUACACAUCUGUAUAGUAGACAAACCCAUGAUUUUCACCCAAAUCAAAACAAAAAUCGGAAUGCAUAAUAAUAAAGAAUUAGUCAUAGUCAUUUAGGAGAAUCAUAUAUAGCUCUCUGAAAACCCCAGAGAUCAUUUUCUUGACACGAAUUACAUCUCGUUCAAUGGUGAAUGUAAAGAGGAAGCAGUCAUGUACCACGAGCUUGAACUUCUAGAAGAGAAGGGACGCGCCACAUAGAGGGCAUGGCGCUCUUGAAGGAGUCGAAGGCCACCGCUCUGAACCAAGGAGCCACUCACGAUAUUUAACCUAUUUUUUAGUACCUUGUAGGUGUAAAUAUGGAGAUUGAAACUUUUCAUGAAUGCUAACAAUUUUCUUAGAUUUAAAGAAAUAUAAUCUCGAACCUUCCUAGCUCGAAGUACCAAGUCAACAGUUAAGGAUACAUGUAUAUGCAAACUAGGUAGAUAAGUACUACACUAGUUGAAUCUGCAUGCUCACUAGUUUUCGCUUGGAAAAUUUCCACAAGUCAUGUCAUGUUCACAAUGCAAAUUAGAAAAUUUCCUCCAGUCAUGUCAUCUUCACACUGCUAAUUAGAAAAUUUCCACCAGUCAUCUUCGUAUUGCAAAAGGAAAUUCUUUAAUUCCAUUUAGAUCUACUUGUGACCUGGACGACUUCAUCUUAUCGUCUAGAAAUUGACAUAAACUAAUAAACGAAACAAGUUCCUAUUUACAACUACCACCUCAACUUGUCACCAUGAUCAUCAACCAAAACGGAACACGAAUUGUCAUAUUGACAUAGCAUAGAAUAAUUAGUUAGUAGCACAAAAUUAUCGAUGGAAAUGGUGGUUGUGCCCCGUCAGUCCGUUAAUUUAUAGUGAUGGGGUGAAAAAAUAAAUAAAUCAAAAGCCAUUCUAAACACAAGGACCAAAAAUAAUUUUUGCCACCUGAUCAGUAAACAAAUCAAGUAUAGCUAGGCAGAAGGGGUCCUGGCUUGGCAAAGGCACAUCAAGCUUUCGUUUUCUUGAAACCGAUUGAUCUCAUAACUUGUGCUUGACUAUGAGAUAACAUCUCUUCUGUAUUACCUGCUUGCAUCUAAACUAAAAUAUCAAGUUUUUGGGCUUACCAAGUAGCUUCGGGAAAUAAGAGAGACGACCAAGACAUUUUGAUUUGCUCACAACCUCUUCCUUCUAUUCGUCUACAAAAGCGAGCUUGCAAACACAACUUCACUCAGAAGAAAUACAGUUUAUACAUUUAUACCUCUCAGUUGAAGUACUGAGUUAAUUGGUGCAUGCAGGUUACUAAUUAACUAAGUAUGCAAUUCAUAUUGGUGGUGGUACUGGUUCUCCUCGCAUUUACGGCCGCAGGCAAAGAAGCAGAAGCAGCUGAAGCCCUCCCGCCUCAAGCGCUUCAUGGCUGCUCUGACAAGUGCGGUGAUCUCACAGUUCCAUAUCCAUUUGGCAUGGAGGAGGGUUGUUACCUGGGAGAUGAAUUCUUUAUUUAUUGCAACCGUUCGACCCAAUCAGCAUAUUUGAUGGGCAGCAGCAGCAGUAUCAUUGUUACUAACAUUUCCCUAGAGGUUGGGGAGAUGCAAAUAUCGAAGCGAAUAGGGCGAGAUUGUUACGAUAAAGAGGGAAACCGAAACUACAACAUAAGCACAGCAGGAAAGUUCACAUUGGUACCUCCAUACACUAUAUCUGAUGCCCAAAACAAGUUCUACGCCGUUGGUUGUGACACUAUUGCAGCCAUGGGCAGCUUCCGAGGGGAAAAAGAAGUCAUUACUGGGUGCAUUUCAGUAUGCAACAGCCUCAGCAGUGUUAAUAAGAACUCUUGCUCUGGCAUUGGGUGUUGCCAGGUUAACAUCCCCAGUGGACUGAUCGAUCUCACUUUCGAGUUGAGAAGCUUCUACAAUCAUACGAAUGUAUCUGAGUUUAACCCCUGCAGCUACGCCUUCAUUGCAGAGCAAGACCGGUUCAAUUUUAACUCUUCUAGUUUUGAACAACUGAAAGGCAUUGAACGGCUUCCAAUGGUUCUUAAUUGGGCCAUUGUGAAUGACACAGAUCCCUGCGAUGAGGCUCAGAACAGGAAGGGUUCCGCAUGCAAGGCUAAUAGCAAGUGCUUCAACCCAGCUAUCAAUGAGUCUGUAGGUUACUUGUGCCAGUGCUUGCCUGGUUAUGAAGGAAACCCGUACCACCCAGAUGGUUGCAAAGGUGAAAAAUUAUCUUUGAUUUACCUAUUCAGCUACUAUUAUAUCAAUAUAAAUUAAUUAAAGCUCUCACCAUUGGAAGUGCAAGUUUACCAAAUUUAGUGAUGUCUGAUACGCUUUUCCUUUCCUAAUUUCCCUUUCAGAUAUUGAUGAGUGCAAAGACCCAAACCUCUGCCAGAACGGACAAUGCUUGAAUGAGUGAAUCUGCCACCUCCACAAAAUUACACUUGUUCAUCAUGUCACAAAGGAUACAAACACGACGGCACCAAUGACAAGAGUUGCAUCAAAGACGAUUCCGAAAGACGCUCAAAGAUCGUUCUCCUGCUUGAAAUUUCAUUGGGUAUGUAGAAUUAGAUAUUAACAUGCAUGUGCAUCCUAUGACCACCCUAAACUUCUAUUGAACAGUAUUGACGGACUGAAAUUUAUUUAGCUUCAGCUAUACUUUCGUUCCAAAUUCUAAUUUCGCUUAACCUAGUAAUACUCAUACUUUUUCUUCUAAAAGAAGUGAUGAAAAGAGAAUGCGUACGUAAGUCAUUCCCAUUUUAUAAAGGAAAACUUUUAAUUCUUAUAAGAAAAAAAGUUUAAUUUCUCUGAUGUGUAAAAAAAAGACGACGCUCUUCCUUAUUGUAUCAUUGAGUACGUGCUAUUUCUAUAAUAGCACGCUGCAUGCAUCAUCUGAUCAAAACCUGAUCAGCUAUGUUCGGACCCAAACUGAAAUUCUCAUAUCUACUAUUUAAAAUGAAGAACUUAAAAAAGAAAAAGAAAGAAUAUCCAUCAUAUACAUGUGAUUUGAAGAAGCUUUCACGGUUUCACCUACAUAUGUUUUCCCCUGUUUUUAUGGUACUGACUUUUAAUAGCCUAGAAAGUUUGAUUAAUCUAAAAAAAUUCACUAAUUAUUUAAAAUCAAACAAAAGUAACUAAAGAAUUUCAUCAAACUCCACUAUAACAAAUCUCCCUAGAGACAAUCAGAAAUAAAAUCAAUUUUGCCUCAAUUGAUUGUUGGUAUAUAUGUGCAGGUGUAACUGGGGGCUUCUUUGUUCUGUUUGUUGGAAUUUCAUGGAUAUGUUGCAGAAUACGGAAAACAAAAUUCAAGAAACAGAAAGAAAAGUACUUUAAAGAAAAUGGUGGCUUAUUGUUACUACAACAACUCGCUAACCAUGGAGGCUCAGUGGAGACAACAAAAGUCUUCACCGAAGAAGAACUAGAGAAUGCAACAAACAAUUACCAUGAGAGUGGAGUCCUUGGAGAAGGAGGCUACGGAACAGUUCAUAAAGGAGUACUAAAGGACAACAAAGUGGUUGCCAUAAAGAAGUCAAAAGGAGGUACCUCGACCCAGAGCGAACAGUUUGUUAACGAGGUGAUUGUUCUUUCUCAAAUCAACCACAGAAAUGUGGUGAAGCUACUAGGUUGUUGUUUGGAGACAGCAGUGCCUUUACUGGUAUACGAAUUUGCACUCUAUACGAGCACAUUCAUAAAAGAAGAUCAUCACUGUCAUUUGAACAGCGAAUGAAGAUAGCUGUUGAAACAGCAGGAGCACUAGCAUACUUACACUCCUCCACAUCAAUGCCAAUCAUACAUCGAGACGUGAAAGCAGCAAAUAUACUCUUGGAUGAUAAUUAUACAGCCAAAGUGUCGGACUUCGGAGCUUCACGGUUGGUUCCUCUAGGUCAAACCGAAAUACAAACUUUGGUGCUCGGGACGUUUGGAUACCUAGACCCAGAAUAUUUGCAGUCGAACCAACUAACAGAAAAAAGUGAUGUCUACAGCUUUGGAGUUGUCCUAGUGGAGCUACUUACAAGCAAAGUGGCAGUUUCUAAUGAUAGAUGCUUAACAAGCAUCUUUAUUUCUUGCAUGGAUGAAGAUCGCUUAAAAGAAAUUCUUGACGAUGCCAUACUGAAUGAGGGAAACAUUGAGACAGCAGUAAACGUGGCCAAUCUCGCAAAAAGAUGUUUGAGGUUAAAAGGGGAGGAAAGGCCUACCAUGAAAGAAGUUGCCAUGGAGCUAGAGGGAAUGGCAAUUAUGGCAAAGCAUCCGUGGGGAAAGAAUGCUAAAUUCUGUCCGGAGGAGAAUGAGUACCUGCUUGGUUCACCUACUUCAGACAGUUAUGACAUGGAUGCUAGAGGAGGUGAUCACAAUUCUAGUGGUUUAACCAUUGGUACGACUACUGUGUAUGACAGCAUGCAAAUCCAGAUGUUGAUUCCACAUGGUAAUGGACGAUAGUUAGUUGGCGUGUUCCUUAUGACUUAUAUACCAUGCAUUGUUGUAAUCCUUGUUUCAUUUUUAUUAGUGCCUUGUUAAAUAAGUGUAUGUAAGCAUACUAUUAAUUUGAUACGUGUAAAUUAAGUGUGGUCUUAUAUGUGUGUAUAUAUAUUAUACAAUCUGUUUCAGAUACGGACGUCCGCACCGCCUUAAAGUGCGGACAUCCCUCCUUUCGCCACCGUACGGCGCCGACGAGGGCGCGCCUCCACCCCAGCGAACUCCAGCAGCAUCCCCGACCAUUUUCCCUCCCCGGCGAGUCCGCCGAAUCCCAGUUUUCCUGCCAGAUCACCAAAAACUUCAAAAAAAAGUCAAUCUGGCCCGAAAAUUGGAAUUCGGCAGACUCGCCGGGGAUGGAAAGUGGUCAGGAAAGCUGCUGGAGUCCGCUGGGAUGGAGGCGCGCCCUCGCCGGUGCCGUACGGUGGCGAAAGGAGGGACGUCCGCACUUUAAGAGCCGUGCGGAUGUCCGCACCUGAUACUAGCUCCCUAAUAUAUUAUAUGUAUUUAUAUAUGAAGUGUUGUUUUGAAUUCUUUCCCUGAAUUUUGUACUCUAUGCAAUUUAUAAAGCAAUCAGGCAUAUAACAGUAUUCAUCGAUUCUAGAAAACAUUUUAUGCUUAAUUUCAAAACAUACAUCCAAAUCAAGGCUUUAGACUAUCAUCAUGAACAGGCGUAUUCCUCUGGAUUAAUUGGCUAAACAAAUUCUAGCAAUAGUGAGGACUUACAGAUAUCAAGUAAUAGCCAGUUGAACUGGGAGCACUUACUGGAAUCAGACAAGUAAGUUGGACCGCCCCCUUCAUCUAGAAGCUUUGCCUGGGGAAAUCUCAAACAGUAUAAGUGAGCGUGCCUGCAAACUGAAAAAGCAAUCCAUGUCAAAACAACAUCUUUUUAACAAUGAAGAUGAUAUGACAACAGAAGCCAUGCAAUUUACAGAUUUUAAAGCUUCCCCGUUCAAUCUAAUGAAGAUCAUUGUCAAAUAGAGCCCAACAGUGUUACAGUACAUCAGUGCUAGUGGUAUUUUAGGGUAUUAUAUGUUCACGACUUCACAGAAUAACUGUGAAGGAAAACUACAACCACCAGAGCUUAAGCCCCAAAGCAAACAAUAACGUUACACAUUUUCAGCCUAACCGGGACAAUAAACCUUAGCUGGUAAGAUCUAGUGAAGAAUUACUUGCUCAUUUAUUAAAAGUGUCUUCCCAAAACCAAAAAUAAUAAAAAAAGAAAAAAGAAAUCAUGUUACAGGCCUAAGCCACUCAAGGAAAGCUAAAGAACAACUUGACUAAGGGAUAAUUCGCGACUACUACAUAUACAACCAAGUGCAGUGAUAAUGCAACAUCUGAAAAUGCGAAAUGAAGUUACUCAUGUACAUGUCAUGAUGGGUACACAAUCUACGAUAAGAACAAUGAUCGUUGCGGCAAAAAUCUUGAUACUUCCAUACAAAUUACAGUGGGUAUGUAUUGAUAGCAAUGUGAUUUACAAUUUUAAAUAUGAGCUUCCGCACUAGCAUGUUAUUAUUUAUUAAAGACUGUAAUUCUGUAAACACAAUAUACAUAUCUGAUAAAAUUCAUAAAGAUAAUCCGUUGUGAUUUUUCAAUUGUAUGCAGGUAUCAUUUUCAGCUUCUUGGUAAUGCUGGUUGGAAUUUCAUGGAUGUAUUGGGUAAUGAAGAAAAGGAAGUUCAUCAAAUUCAAGGAGAAGUACUUCAAAGAAAAUGGUGGCUUACUGUUACAGCAACAACUUGCUACUCAGGUAAUGGAGGCAAUAAAAGUCUAUACAACAAAAGAACUUGAGCAGGCUACAAACAAUUACCACAAAAGUCAGAGUUCUCGGUGAAGGAGGCUACGGAACAGUUUACAAAGGAUUUAUUAUCAGAUAACAAAGAGGUCGCAAUUAAAAAGUCAGUUUGUAAAUGAGGUGAUUGUCCUUUCUCAGAUAAACCAUAGAGAUGUAGUGAGGCAAUAUAUUAGGUUGUUGUUUAGAGUUCAUUAGUCAUGGUACCCUUUUUGAACACAUUCAUAAGAAAAGAUCAACUCUUUUAUUGAGUUUUAAGAUAGCAGCAGAAACUGCAGGAGCACUAGCAUACUUACAUCAUUCAACUUUCCAUGCCCGGGAUGCGAAAACAAUGAGAAUAUACUGUUAGAUGAUAAGUAUAUUAAUGAAACACUUGAAUGUAUGGCUAAUCUUGCAAAAACAUGUUUAAAGUUUUACCGUGACAGAACGCGAAUUGCAGUGAAGCAUCCAUGGGGAGGUAAAACCAAUUGUCUUCCAGAGGAGACUGGAGCCACCUAAUUCAGAAGACGCCGCUAUUGGCCGGAGUCGGUAACCCAGCCGAUGCCGUAGAAACGGACGCCCUACUUUUAUGUGAUUCACGGCUUCCAUUUUGUGCAUUCAGAUAU